UCCUACGGGAGGCAGCAGUGGGGAAUAUUGGACAAUGGGCGCAAGCCUGUUCCAGCCAUACCGCGUGGGUGAAGAAGGCCUUCGGGUUGUAAAGCCCUUUUGUUGGGAAAGAAAUCCAGCUGGUUAAUACCCGGUUGGGAUGACGGUACCCAAAGAAUAAGCACCGGCUAACUUCGUGCCAGCAGCCGCGGUAAUA
rnacentral:rRNA from 1 species